AAAGUCGUAACAAGGUAACCGUAGGUGAACCUGCGGUUGGAUCAUUAACAAGUUUUGUGACUGUGCUGUGAAUUUAACUUCACGGCGCGGGAUCAAUCAACACCCUUGUGAACCAUUGAAAUGUCUAUUGGCGGUCGUGAUUUGUUCCAUCAUUGAGGAGCACGACUAUUUUCUGGUCGUUUCCUUCUACCUCUGCUAGGAGAGGCUCUGGUGGCUGAGAACUCUCAUAGAGUGAUCUGAUCAUGGCUCGCCAGCCUAGAUGAAAUACCAUAUACUUUUUUUUAUCUGUCUUAUCAAAUCUCUCUUAAUUGAGAAACAAUGAGAAACAACUUUAGACAACGGAUCUCUUGGCUCUC
rnacentral:misc_RNA from 1 species